CCGAGAAGUUCGUGACGAAUCGAAUUUACUGUAAAUUCGCUCAUCUCUAGUUCCUACUUUUAGUUCCUGGACCGUGAAGCAAGCACCAGUCCUGUACAAGUACAGUCCGGCAUAUCUAGGCCAACACCUAAAAGUCUGCAGCCACAUCUAAUCUAGCAUAGCAACAAUGCAGGGGACGCACACUGGAGGCCUGCAGCAGCGUGGACCCGACCCCGGCAUCAGAAUUCUCACCGCCGGUUAUUACUCUGAGUGUAUUAUAGAACUUUAUAGCCCAGCUGUGUAAAGCACCGCAGUGCAGCUCCUAUCUGAAUACCGGGAAAUAAAGAUAACCACCAGAAGAUUGGGGCCUGAGUAAGAGGGGUAAUGUUUCCUACACGAGAACGAGGACCAUAUCUGGACUGUUCUAUUGCAUGAACCAUACAAGAUUGAUGCCUGGAAGAGCUAACAGCCAGAUAAUGCCUCAAAAUACUAUCAUUGGCAGAUGAAUUGCCUCUUUAUGGAGUGAUAUGUUUCUAGAAAUGAACUACAUAAAUGUAAUGUUUUCCUCUUACAGCAUUGAGUUGCUAUAAUAUCAAAGACGUAUGUACC